rnacentral:rRNA from 1 species
GAUGAACGCUAGCUACAGGCUUAACACAUGCAAGUCGAGGGGCAGCACAGUGUAGCAAUACAUGGGUGGCGACCGGCGCACGGGUGCGUAACGCGUAUCCAACCUUCCCGUUACUCAGGGAUAGCCUUCCGAAAGGGUGAUUAAUACCUGAUGGUGUUGAAAUUCCGCAUGUUAUUUCAACUAAAGAUUUAUCGGUAACGGAUGGGGAUGCGUGACAUUAGGUAGAUGGCGGGGUAACGGCCCACCAUGCCUACGAUGUCUGGGGGUUCUGAGAGGGAGGUCCCCCACACUGGAACUGAGACACGGUCCAGACUCCUACGGGAGGCAGCAGUGAGGAAUAUUGGUCAAUGGUCGGAAGACUGAACCAGACAAGUAGCGUGAAGGAUGAAGGUUCUAUGGAUUGUAAACUUCUUUUAUACGGGAAUAAAACCUCCCACGUGUGGGAGCUUGUAUGUACCGUAUGAAUAAGCAUCGGUUAACUCCGGGCCAGCCGCCGCAGUAACAC